AGUGAACGCUGGCGGCGUGCCUAAUACAUGCAAGUCGAACGGAGAUUAAGUAGCUUGCUAUUUAAUCUUAGUGGCGCACGGGUGAGUAAUAUAUAGCUAACUUGCCCAUUACUAAGGGACAACAGUUGGAAACGACUGCUAAUACCUUAUACUCCGUAUCUAUAUAAGUAGAUACGGGAAAGUUUUUCGGUAAUGGAUAGGGCUAUAUCGUAUCAGCUAGUUGGUAAGGUAAUGGCUUACCAAGGCUAUGACGCGUAACUGGUCUGAGAGGAUGAUCAGUCACACUGGAACUGAGACACGGUCCAGACUCCUACGGGAGGCAGCAGUAGGGAAUAUUGCUCAAUGGGGGAAACCCUGAAGCAGCAACGCCGCGUGGAGGAUGGCACUUUUCGGAGCGUAAACUCCUUUUCUUGGGAAAGAAUUAUGACGGUACCCAAGGAAUAAGCACCGGCUAACUCCGUG
rnacentral:rRNA from 1 species